rnacentral:rRNA from 1 species
AUGGGCGAUGUUGUUGUUUGCCGUCGAGGUACAUAUAUGAGCAGUACUGAUCCACGAGUUGAUCCCUUUUGCGUAUGGGGCAAUAAGAUAUUCAUGAACAAGUGUCAAGUGAGGAAACUAAGAAAGAUUGUUAAGCGAAAGAAACGGGUGAUUGGAAUUAAGCUCUUUGUUUACACUUUGUCGAAGACAACAGUGAACUUUAGGAUGUGGUUUCCGAAGCUAUUUACCGAUGAUUACCUUGCAAACUACAUGACCGGAGUGGAGGAAACUAAGGUUAAAGUAUAUAAUUCAUGCUACCAUGAUAAUGCUCUAGAAGUCUUCCUGAAGGCGGUGAAGGAUGGGCGGGCGAUCGUCACAAGGGGUUGGACAAAAGUGGUUUGUGCCUAUGGCAUGCAGGAAGGCACAUUAUGGGCAUUCCGCUUCUUCAACACCGCCGGCAGUCAAAAUGAUUUACACUUGUCUCUUCACCUUUACCGCCUUUAA